GGCGAGAUGGCCGAGCGGUCUAAGGCGCCAGACUAAGGACCAGCUCAUUCGAUGAGCAUCUUCAAUCUGGUCUUUCGGGGCGUGGGUUCGAAUCCCACUCUCGUCA
rnacentral:tRNA from 1 species